GUAAAAGGUGUUUGUAAGUCGCUCUGGAUAAGAGCGUCUGCUAAAUGACUUAAA
rfam:Salmo salar isolate Sally breed double haploid chromosome ssa10, whole genome shotgun sequence.